CUGCUGCUGUUGUUGCAGAAGCAACUGUUGCUGCUGCUGUUGCUGCAUCUGUUGUUGCUGCAUCUGUUGCUGUUGCAGCUG
rnacentral:sRNA from 1 species